rnacentral:rRNA from 1 species
UACGUAGGUGGCAAGCGUUGUCCGGAUUUAUUGGGUUAAAGGGUGCGUAGGCGGCUUAAUAAGUCAGUGGUGAAAGCCGAUCGCUUAACGAUCGAACUGCCAUUGAUACUGCUAGGCUUGAGUAUAGUUGAGGUAGGCGGAAUUGACAGUGUAGCGGUGAAAUGCAUAGAUAUUGUCAAGAACACCAAUUGCGAAGGCAGCUUACUAAAGUAUAACUGACGCGUGAGGCACGGAAAGUGCGGGGAUCAAACAGG